rnacentral:rRNA from 1 species
AGAUGCGAGAGUAGAGCAUAUCAAUAAGCGGAGGAAAAGAAACUAACAAGGAUUCCCUAGUAACGGCGAGUGAAGCGGGAAGAGCUCAAAUUUGAAAUCUUAAAGGGUUCUACCUUGACGAAUUGUAGUUUAAAGAAGUGUUUUCUGUUGGAGUUUCGGUAAAAGUUCUUUGGAAUAGGACAUCAUAGAGGGUGAGAAUCCCGUAUUUGACCGUUACUUUCCAGCUGUGUGAUACACUUUCAAAGAGUCGGAUUGUUUGGGAAUGCAGUCCAAAAUGGGUGGUAAAUUUCAUCUAAAGCUAAAUAUUGGCGAGAGACCGAUAGCGAACAAGUACCGUGAGGGAAAGAUGAAAAGAACUUUGAAAAGAGAGUUAAACAGUACGUGAAAUUGUCAAAAGGGAAGCGUUUGACACCAGUGUUGUUUUCUCGAAAAUCAAUUAAAAAUGGUGGGAUGUUGUGUUGUAUUGACUUUAUCAGCUUUCUGCACUUUUUUUCCUAUCUUUUUUAAUGCACUUUUCGUUUAACAAGUCAACAUCAAUUUCUUUUGUUGUAAAAGAGUCAUUGGAAGGUGGCUUUCUUUUCGGAGAAAGUGUUUAUAGCCUUUGACUUCUGCAAUCGGAGAGAUUGAGGUCUGCAGCGUAGAUCCUUCGGGGUUAGAUGCAUUUGUGCUAAGCUAUAGCCUUUCAUAGACAACUUGUUGACUAUGAUCAGUCAUGUAGCUUACUCGCUUAUGUCAUUUUACCUACGCUUAGGAUGUUGACGAGACUGUCGAUCUC